UGAAGUCGUCUCAAGACCCGCAUAGAGAUUUCAAGGAGUCAAUGAUGGAGAUGAUAAUGGAGAACAAUAUCAGGACGUCAAAGGACUUGGAAGACCUUCUUGCAUGUUAUCUUUCACUGAAUUCGGAUCAAUAUCAUGACCUGAUUAUCAAGGUGUUCAAGCAAAUCUGGCUUCAGAUUACUGAUAUUCGUUUGAAGUAAUCAAGUUUUUAAUUUAUAUAUUAAAGAUUCUAGUGAAUGUACAUUUCCUUUUUUUUAUAACAAAAUAUAUAUAUAUAUAUAUAUAGAAAUUAUAUGGAUGGUUGUAAUACUAUAAUAAAACUCAGCUGAAAGAGAAUAGGCUAGGAAUAGGAUACCUUAAGGACAAGUUUCAGAUUUUAAUCUGUUUUCUUCUCGACAUAAAAAUGUAUAUAUGUUUUUCUAUCCGGGUACUUUUGAUCAGUACUCUCCCGCUUAACCACCAGGCAAGUACAAC
rnacentral:lncRNA from 1 species